UUCGGUUGAUCCUGCCGGAGGUCACUGCUAUUGGGAUUCGACUAAGCCAUGCGAGUCGAGAGGGUUCGGCCCUCGGCUGACGGCUCAGUAACACGUGGAUAAUCUGCCCUUAGGUGGAGGAUAAUCUCGGGAAACUGAGGAUAAUACUCCAUAGAUUUAGGAUGCUGGAAUGCAUCUAAAUUGAAAGCUCCGGCGCCUAAGGAUAAGUCUGCGGACUAUCAGGUUGUAGUCAGGGUAAAGACCUGACUAGCCUACGACGGAUACGGGUUGUGAGAGCAAUAACCCGGAGACGAUAUCUGAGACACGAUAUCGGGCCCUACGGGGCGCAGCAGGCGCGAAAACUUCACACUGUGCGAAAGCGCGAUGAGGGAAUCCCAAGUGUUUGCUCGUUAGAGUAAACUGUUUCUUUGUUUAAAACGCAGAGAGAGUAAGGGCUGGGUAAGACGGGUGCCAGCCGCCGCGGUAAUACCUGCAGCUCAAGUGGUGAUCAUUAUUAUUGGGCCUAAAACGUCCGUAGCCGGUUUAGUAAAUGCCUGGGUAAAUCGUGUAGCUUAACUAUACGACUUCCGGGUAGACUGCUAAACUUGAGACCGGGAGAGGCUAGAGGUACUCCUGGGGUAGAGGUGAAAUUCUGUAAUCCUAGGGGGACCACCAGUGGCGAAGGCGUCUAGCUAGAACGGGUCUGACGGUGAGGGACGAAGCCCUGGGGCACAAACCGGAUUAGAUACCCGGGUAGUCCAGGGUGUAAACGCUGCUUGCUUGAUGUUAGUUGGGCUCCGAGCCCAACUAGUGUCGGAGAGAAGUUGUUAAGCAAGCUGCCUGGGAAGUACGGUCGCAAGGCUGAAACUUAAAGGAAUUGGCGGGGGAGCACAGCAACGGGUGGAGCGUGCGGUUUAAUUGGAUUCAACGCCGGG
rnacentral:rRNA from 1 species